UACGAAGGGGGCUAGCGUUGCUCGGAAUUACUGGGCGUAAAGCGCACGUAGGCGGAUCCUUAAGUCGGUGGUGAAAUCCUGAAGCUCAACUUCAGAACUGCCUUCGAUACUGGGGACCUUGAGUUCGGGAGAGGUGAGUGGAACUGCGAGUGUAGAGGUGAAAUUCGUAGAUAUUCGCAAGAACACCAGUGGCGAAGGCGGCUCUCUGGGACGGUACUGACGCUGAGACGCGAAAGCGUGGGGAGCGAACGAGGA
rnacentral:rRNA from 1 species